rnacentral:rRNA from 1 species
GCCUAACACAUGCAAGUCGAGGGGUAUAGUUCUUCGGAACUAGAGACCGGCGCACGGGUGCGUAACGCGUAUGCAAUCUACCUUAUACAGGGGAAUAGUCCAGAGAAAUUUGGAUUAAUGCCCCAUAGUAUUACGAAACGGCAUCGUUUUGUGAUUAAAGUUCCAACGGUAUAAGAUGAGCAUGCGUCCCAUUAGUUAGUUGGUAAGGUAACGGCUUACCAAGGCGAUGAUGGGUAGGGGUCCUGAGAGGGAGAUCCCCCACACUGGUACUGAGACACGGACCAGACUCCUACGGGAGGCAGCAGUGAGGAAUAUUGGUCAAUGGGCGCAAGCCUGAACCAGCCAUGCCGCGUGCAGGAAGAAUCAUCUAUGGUGUGUAAACUGCUUUUAUACAGGAAGAAACCUCCCUACGAGUAGGGACUUGACGGUACUGUAGGAAUAAGGAUCGGCUAACUCCGUGCCAGCAGCCGCGGUAAUAC